rnacentral:rRNA from 1 species
GACGAACGCUGGCGGCGUGCUUAACACAUGCAAGUCGAACGGAAAGGCCCUGCUUUUGUGGGGUGCUCGAGUGGCGAACGGGUGAGUAACACGUGAGUAACCUGCCCUUGACUUUGGGAUAACUUCAGGAAACUGGGGCUAAUACCGGAUAGGAGCUCCUGCUGCAUGGUGGGGGUUGGAAAGUUUCGGCGGUUGGGGAUGGACUCGCGGCUUAUCAGCUUGUUGGUGGGGUAGUGGCUUACCAAGGCUUUGACGGGUAGCCGGCCUGAGAGGGUGACCGGCCACAUGGGAAUAGUGAAAGGGCCCGGAGCCUACAGGGAGGGGUUAGGGGAAAAUAUCAGCGAAGGGGCGCAAGCCUUAGCCGGCAACCCCGCGGGGGGAAAGACGGCCAUCGGUUUAAAACCCGCUUUAGCCUGGGACAAGGCUGGAGUGACGUUAAUGGGUAAAAAAGCCCCGGCUAACUACGUC